rnacentral:rRNA from 1 species
UACGGAGGGUGCAAGCGUUAUCCGGAUUCACUGGGUUUAAAGGGUGCGUAGGCGGGCAGGUAAGUCCGUGGUGAAAUCUCUGAGCUUAACUCAGAAACUGCCAUGGAUACUAUUUGUCUUGAAUAUUGUGGAGGUAAGCGGAAUAUGUCAUGUAGCGGUGAAAUGCUUAGAUAUGACAUAGAACACCAAUUGCGAAGGCAGCUUACUACACAGUUAUCGACGCUGAGGCACGAAAGCGUGGGGAUCAAACAGG